UACGGAGGGAGCGAACGUUGUUCGGAUUUACUGGGCGUAAAGGGUGUGUAGGCGGUCUUGCAAGUCAGGGGUGAAAUCUCUCGGCUCAACCGAGAAACUGCCUUUGAGACUGCAGGACUUGAGGGCGUGAGAGGAGACUGGAAUUCCUAGUGUAGCGGUGAAAUGCGCAGAUAUCAGGAGGAACAGCCGGUGGCGAAGGCGGGUCUCUGGGCCGAUAUUGACGCUGAGGAGCGAAAGCGUGGGGAGCGAACGGG
rnacentral:rRNA from 1 species